rnacentral:rRNA from 1 species
UUUGGUAGUGAUGGCGAGAAGGCAACACUUGUAUCCAUUCCGAACACAAAAGUUAAGUUUCUCAGCGCCGAUGGUACUGCUGGGGCAGCUCAGUGGGAGAGUAGGACACUGCCAAUC